rnacentral:lncRNA from 1 species
UGGGAGGAGGGGGAGAUUCGUGGGAGGACCGAGCCCGGGGAUGGGACUGGAGGAGUUUCCGUGACCUUGCGGGCUGUUUGUGCUGAGGGACAGCUUUAUUUAAAUAAUAAUAUGCGUGCAGGCGCCCUGCAUGAUUCCUGGCCGCGUGCUUUCUAGUUAACUAGGUCACUGUUUGCUCUCAGGAGCAACCCUGCCUCCCGCAGUUCGCUU